rnacentral:rRNA from 1 species
UACGGGAGGCAGCAGGGGGGAAUAUUGCACAAUGGGCGCAAGCCUGAUGCAGCCAUGCCGCGUGUAUGAAGAAGGCCUUCGGGUUGUAAAGUACUUUCAGUCGUGAGGAAGGUGUUAAGGUUAAUAACCUUAGCAAUUGACGUUAGCGACAGAAGAAGCACCGGCUAACUCCGUGCCAGCAGCCGCGGUAAUACGGAGGGUGCGAGCGUUAAUCGGAAUUACUGGGCGUAAAGGGCACGCAGGCGGUUAAUUAAGUUGGAUGUGAAAUCCCCGGGCUUAACCUGGGAAUGGCAUUCAAGACUGGUUAGCUAGAGUCUUGUAGAGGGGGUAGAAUUCCAUGUGUAGCGGUGAAAUGCGUAGAGAUGUGGAGGAAUACCGGUGGCGAAGGCGGCCCCUGGGACAAAGACUGACGCUCAUGUGCGAAAGCGUGGGGAGCAAACAGGGAUUAGAUAC